CGGAGGAUCCAAGCGUUAUCCGGAAUCAUUGGGUUUAAAGGGUCCGUAGGCGGUUUGAUAAGUCAGUGGUGAAAGCCCAUCGCUCAACGAUGGAACGGCCAUUGAUACUGUCAGACUUGAAUUACUGGGAAGUAACUAGAAUAUGUAGUGUAGCGGUGAAAUGCUUAGAUAUUACAUGGAAUACCAAUUGUGAAGGCAGGUUACUACCAGUGGAUUGACGCUGAUGGACGAAAGCGUGGGGAGCGAACAGGAUUAGAUACCCUGGUAGUCCACGCCGUAAACGAUGGAUACUAGCUGUUCGGAGCAAUCUGAGUGGCUAAGCGAAAGUGAUAAGUAUCCCACCUGGGGAGUACGUUCGCAAGAAUG
rnacentral:rRNA from 1 species